ACGAACGCUGGCGGCGUGCUUAACACAUGCAAGUCGAACGAAGAGCGAUGGAAGCUUGCUUCUAUCAAUCUUAGUGGCGAACGGGUGAGUAACGCGUAAUCAACCCGCCCUUCAGAGGGGGACAACAGUUGGAAACGACUGCUAAUACCGCAUACGAUCUAACCUCGGCAUCGAGGAUAGAUGAAAGGUGGCCUCUACAUGUAAGCUAUCACUGAAGGAGGGGAUUGCGUCUGAUUAGCUAGUUGGAGGGGUAACGGCCCACCAAGGCGAUGAUCAGUAGCCGGUCUGAGAGGAUGAACGGCCACAUUGGGACUGAGACACGGCCCAGACUCCUACGGGAGGCAGCAGUGGGGAAUCUUCCGCAAUGGACGAAAGUCUGACGGAGCAACGCCGCGUGAGUGAUGACGGCCUUCGGGUUGUAAAGCUCUGUUAAUCGGGACGAAAGGCCUUCUUGCGAAUAGUGAGAAGGAUUGACGGUACCGGAAUAGAAAGCCACGGCUAACUACGUG
rnacentral:rRNA from 1 species